UCUGUCUCUUCAACUCGACAGUUAUUGUAACCUUGAUCUGUAGCUGUUUCUCAGCCGAGUAGCUGUCACAGAAAACAAUUUUUUUUUUUUUUUUUUUUUUUUUUUUUUUUUUUUUUUUUUUUUUUUUUUUUUUUUUUUUUUUUUUUUUUUUUUUUUUUUUUUUUUUUUUUUUUUUUUUUUUUUUUUUUUUUUUUUUUUUU
rnacentral:lncRNA from 1 species